GCUUGCUCCCUGAUGUUAGCGGCGGACGGGUGAGUAACACGUGGGUAACCUGCCUGUAAGACUGGGAUAACUCCGGGAAACCGGGGCUAAUACCGGAUGGUUGUUUGAACCGCAUGGUUCAGACAUAAAAGGUGGCUUCGGCUACCACUUACAGAUGGACCCGCGGCGCAUUAGCUAGUUGGUGAGGUAACGGCUCACCAAGGCGACGAUGCGUAGCCGACCUGAGAGGGUGAUCGGCCACACUGGGACUGAGACACGGCCCAGACUCCUACGGGAGGCAGCAGUAGGGAAUCUUCCGCAAUGGACGAAAGUCUGACGGAGCAACGCCGCGUGAGUGAUGAAGGUUUUCGGAUCGUAAAGCUCUGUUGUUAGGGAAGAACAAGUGCCGUUCAAAUAGGGCGGCACCUUGACGGUACCUAACCAGAAAGCCACGGCUAACUACGUGCCAGCAGCCGCGGUAAUACGUAGGUGGCAAGCGUUGUCCGGAAUUAUUGGGCGUAAAGGGCUCGCAGGCGGUUUCUUAAGUCUGAUGUGAAAGCCCCCGGCUCAACCGGGGAGGGUCAUUGGAAACUGGGGAACUUGAGUGCAGAAGAGGAGAGUGGAAUUCCACGUGUAGCGGUGAAAUGCGUAGAGAUGUGGAGGAACACCAGUGG
rnacentral:rRNA from 1 species